GUUGUUUCUGCUUUAUCUCUCCAUACCAACUCCCUCCUUGCUGCACACUUCAGAAUUUUGGAAAUAAGACAUAACUAGAAAAAAGGUUUUAACUAAAAUAGACUAUUUGAACACUGCAACCUCACUACGUCUUUCUGCAACAAUUCUGAAAUGGAAAUAAAAUAGUAGCUAUUACAUUUGAGAACUGAAGGCCUAUUAACUGACAAAGACUGUGUAAGGCAUAAGGUAUAGGUAUAAGUACUAGUUAUAAAUUCGUUUCCAAUAUAAUUCCACUUUACCAUAAUGUGCCUUAGAAGAUACACCUAUAGCCAGGGCAGGAGUGAGACCACUGCAUAUGAUUAUAUUACCCUUAACAUGUAGGUGAGGAGUUGGCAACUUCAAAAAAAAGUUAUGCAAACUG
rnacentral:lncRNA from 1 species